rnacentral:rRNA from 1 species
CCAGCCAUGCCGCGUGCAGGAAGACUGCCCUAUGAGUUGUAAACUGCUUUUAUACAGGAAGAAACACUCCCUCGUGAGGGAGCUUGACGGUACUGUAAGAAUAAGGAUCGGCUAACUCCGUGCCAGCAGCCGCGGUAAUACGGAGGAUCCAAGCGUUAUCCGGAAUCAUUGGGUUUAAAGGGUCCGUAGGUGGAUUAGUAAGUCAGAGGUGAAAGCCUGCAGCUCAACUGUAGAACUGCCUUUGAUACUGCUAGUCUUGAGUCAUUAUGAAGUGGUCAGAAUGUGUAGUGUAGCGGUGAAAUGCAUAGAUAUUACACAGAAUACCGAUUGCGAAGGCAGAUCACUAAUAAUGUACUGACACUGAUGGACGAAAGCGUGGGGAGCGAACAGGAUUAGAUACCCUGGUAGUCCACGCCGUAAACGAUGGUCACUAGCUGUGUGGAUUUCGGUCUGCGUGGCUAAGCGAAAGCGAUAAGUGACCCACC